CUGCAGCCAAUUAAGCAGACCAGGCUCAUCCAGUCAUGGGGGUCUGGAGGUACGGGCUGUACACAGCGGCCUCUUUGUGAGUAUGUGUAGCCUGCUACCCUUACAGGUUGCCCUAACAGACCUGGAAACAGUU